rnacentral:rRNA from 1 species
GACGAACGCUGGCGGCGUGCUUAACACAUGCAAGUCGAGCGAUGAAGCUCCUUCGGGAGUGGAUUAGCGGCGGACGGGUGAGUAACACGUGGGCAACCUGCCUUAUAGAGAGGAAUAGCCAUCCGAAAGGAUGAUUAAUACCUCAUAAUAUUGUAGCUUCGCAUGGAGCAACAAUCAAAGGAGCAAUCCGCUAUAAGAUGGGCCCGCGGCGCAUUAGCUAGUUGGUGAGGUAACGGCUCACCAAGGCGACGAUGCGUAGCCGACCGUAGAGGGUGAUCGGCAACAUUUGGAAUGAGACACGGCCCAGACUCCUACGGGAGGCAGCAGUGGGGAAUAUUAAAAAAUGGGGGAAACCCUGAUGCAGCAACGCCGCGUGAGUAAUGACGGCCUUCGGGUUGUAAAGCUCUGUCUUCAGGGACGAUAAUGACGGUACCUGAGGAGGAAGCCACGGCUAACUACGUGCCAGCAGCCGCAGUAA